rnacentral:rRNA from 1 species
AUGAACGCUGGCGGCGUGCUUAACACAUGCAAGUCGAACGAAGCACUUUAUUUGAUUUCCUUCGGGACUGAUUAUUUUGUGACUGAGUGGCGGACGGGUGAGUAACGCGUGGGUAACCUGCCUUGUACAGGGGGAUAACAGUUGGAAACGGCUGCUAAUACCGCAUAAGCGCACGGCAUCGCAUGAUGCAGUGUGAAAAACUCCGGUGGUAUAAGAUGGACCCGCGUUGGAUUAGCUAGUUGGUGAGGUAACGGCCCACCAAGGCGACGAUCCAUAGCCGACCUGAGAGGGUGACCGGCCACAUUGGGACUGAGACACGGCCCAAACUCCUACGGGAGGCAGCAGUGGGGAAUAUUGCACAAUGGGCGAAAGCCUGAUGCAGCGACGCCGCGUGAGCGAAGAAGUAUUUCGGUAUGUAAAGCUCUAUCAGCAGGGAAGAUAAUGACGGUACCUGACUAAGAAGCACCGGCUAAAUACGUGCCAGCAGCCGCGGUAAUACGUAUGGUGCAAGCGUUAUCCGGAUUUACUGGGUGUAAAGGGAGCGCAGGCGGUGCGGCAAGUCUGAUGUGAAAGCCCGGGGCUCAACCCCGGUACUGCAUUGGAAACUGUCGUACUAGAGUGUCGGAGGGGUAAGCGGAAUUCCUAGUGUAGCGGUGAAAUGCGUAGAUAUUAGGAGGAACACCAGUGGCGAAGGCGGCUUACUGGACGAUAACUGACGCUGAGGCUCGAAAGCGUGGGGAGCAAACAGGAUUAGAUACCCUGGUAGUCCACGCCGUAAACGAUGUCGACUUGGAGGUUGUGCCCUUGAGGCGUGGCUUCCGGAGCUAACGCGUUAAGUCGACCGCCUGGGGAGUACGGCCGCAAGGUUAAAACUCAAAUGAAUUGACGGGGGCCCGCACAAGCGGUGGAGUAUGUGGUUUAAUUCGAAGCAACGCGAAGAACCUUACCAGGGCUUGACAUAUAGAUGAAUAUAUAAGAGAUUAUAUAGCUCUUCGGAGCAUCUAUACAGGUGGUGCAUGGUUGUCGUCAGCUCGUGUCGUGAGAUGUUGGGUUAAGUCCCGCAACGAGCGCAACCCUUAUCUUUAGUAGCCAGCGGUUUGGCCGGGCACUCUAGAGAGACUGCCAGGGAUAACCUGGAGGAAGGCGGGGAUGACGUCAAAUCAUCAUGCCCCUUAUGACUUGGGCUACACACGUGCUACAAUGGCGUAAACAAAGGGAAGCAAAGCUGUGAAGCCGAGCAAAUCUCAAAAAUAACGUCUCAGUUCGGACUGUAGUCUGCAACCCGACUACACGAAGCUGGAAUCGCUAGUAAUCGCAGAUCAGAAUGCUGCGGUGAAUACGUUCCCGGGUCUUGUACACACCGCCCGUCACACCAUGGGAGUUGGGAAUGCCCGAAGCUAGUGACCUAACCGAAAGGAAGGAGCUGUCGAAGGCAGGCUCGAUAACUGGGGUG